GAUGAACGCUGGCGGCGUGCCUAAUACAUGCAAGUCGAGCGAACAGACGAGGAGCUUGCUCCUCUGACGUUAGCGGCGGACGGGUGAGUAACACGUGGAUAACCUACCUAUAAGACUGGGAUAACUUCGGGAAACCGGAGCUAAUACCGGAUAAUAUAUUGAACCGCAUGGUUCAAUGGUGAAAGACGGUUUUGCUGUCACUUAUAGAUGGAUCCGCGCCGCAUUAGCUAGUUGGUAAGGUAACGGCUUACCAAGGCGACGAUGCGUAGCCGACCUGAGAGGGUGAUCGGCCACACUGGAACUGAGACACGGUCCAGACUCCUACGGGAGGCAGCAGUAGGGAAUCUUCCGCAAUGGGCGAAAGCCUGACGGAGCAACGCCGCGUGAGUGACGAAGGUCUUCGGAUCGUAAAACUCUGUUAUUAGGGAAGAACAAAUGUGUAAGUAACUAUGCACGUCUUGACGGUACCUAAUCAGAAAGCCACGGCUAACUACGUG
rnacentral:rRNA from 1 species